CCUACGGGAGGCAGCAGUGAGGAAUAUUGGUCAAUGGACGAGAGUCUGAACCAGCCAAGUAGCGUGAAGGAUGACUGCCCUAUGGGUUGUAAACUUCUUUUAUAUGGGAAUAAAAUGUUCCACGUGUGGGAUUUUGUAUGUACCAUAUGAAUAAGGAUCGGCUAACUCCGUGCCAGCAGCCGCGGUAAUACGGAGGAUCCGAGCGUUAUCCGGAUUUAUUGGGUUUAAAGGGAGCGUAGGUGGAUUGUUAAGUCAGUUGUGAAAGUUUGCGGCUCAACCGUAAAAUUGCAGUUGAAACUGGCAGUCUUGAGUACAGUAGAGGUGGGCGGAAUUCGUGGUGUAGCGGUGAAAUGCUUAGAUAUCACGAAGAACUCCGAUUGCGAAGGCAGUUCACUGGACUGCAACUGACACUGAGGCUCGAAAGUGUGGGUAUCAAACAGGAUUAGAUACCCUAGUUC
rnacentral:rRNA from 1 species